rnacentral:snRNA from 1 species
GGAUGUGAGGGCGAUCCGGCUGCGACAUCUGUCACCCCACUGAUCGCCAGGGUUGAUUUGGCUGCUCUGGCUGACUAGGCGGGUGUCCCCUUCCUCCCUCAAUGAUCCAUGUGUGUCCCUCCCGAAGCUGCAUGCUUAGUCAAAGAGGACGACCAACCCGAUAGAGGGGGACCAUUCCUAGGUCAAGGAUAUACGAGUAGCUGCACUCCCCUGCUAGAACCUCCAAACAAGCUAACUUUAUUUUUAUAAAGUCAAUAACAUAGAUAUUCGUUAGUUCUUUUAUUAUCAUUAAUUUUUAACACAUUGAAUAAUUGUAAUAAAAU